CACUCCUACGGGAGGCAGCAGUGGGGAAUUUUGGACAAUGGGCGAAAGCCUGAUCCAGCAAUGCCGCGUGUGUGAAGAAGGCCUUCGGGUUGUAAAGCACUUUUGUCCGGAAAGAAAUCCUUGGCUCUAAUACAGUCGGGGGAUGACGGUACCGGAAGAAUAAGCACCGGCUAACUACGUGCCAGCAGCCGCGGUAAUACGUAGGGUGCGAGCGUUAAUCGGAAUUACUGGGCGUAAAGCGUGCGCAGGCGGUUUGCUAAGACCGAUGUGAAAUCCCCGGGCUCAACCUGGGAACUGCAUUGGUGACUGGCAGGCUAGAGUAUGGCAGAGGGGGGUAGAAUUCCACGUGUAGCAGUGAAAUGCUUAGAGAUGUGGAGGAAUACCGAUGGCGAAGGCAGCCCCCUGGGCCAAUACUGACGCUCAUGCACGAAAGCGUGGGGAGCAAACAGGAUUAGAUACCCGAGUAGUCCCAU
rnacentral:rRNA from 1 species